UACAGAGGGUGCGAGCGUUAAUCGGAAUUACUGGGCGUAAAGCGUAUGUAGGCGGAUAUCUAAGUCGGGUGUGAAAUCCCUGGGCUCAACCUAGGAAUUGCAUUCGAUACUGGAUGUCUUAGAGUAUGGUAGAGGAAAGUGGAAUUCCCGGUGUAGCGGUGAAAUGCCUAGAUAUCGGGAGGAACACCAGUGGCGAAGGCGGCUUUCUGGACCAAUACUGACGCUGAAGUGCGAAAGCGUGGGGAGCAAACAGG
rnacentral:rRNA from 1 species